GCAGUAGCCACGGGAAUACGAAGGGGGCUAGCGUUGUUCGGAUUUACUGGGCGUAAAGCGCACGUAGGCGGAUGAUUAAGUCAGGGGUGAAAUCCCUAGGCUCAACCUCGGAACUGCCUUUGAUACUGGUCAUCUUGAGUCCGGGAGAGGUGAGUGGAACUGCGAGUGUAGAGGUGAAAUUCGUAGAUAUUCGCAAGAACACCAGUGGCGAAGGCGGCUCACUGGCCCGGUACUGACGCUGAGGUGCGAAAGCGUGGGGAGCAAACAGGAUUAGAUACCCCAGUAGUCCCUGUCUCUUAUAC
rnacentral:rRNA from 1 species